rnacentral:misc_RNA from 1 species
GAUGAAGAACGCAGCGAAAUGCGAUAAGUAAUGUGAAUUGCAGAAUUCAGUGAAUCAUCGAAUCUUUGAACGCACAUUGCGCCCUUUGGUAUUCCGAAGGGCAUGCCUGUUCGAGCGUCAUUAUCACCCCUCAAGCCCUCGGCUUGGUGUUGGACGGUUUGGUGGAGGCCCCCUCGGGGGCUCCUGCCCCUCCCAAAGACAAUGACGGCGGCCUCGUUGGACCCCCGGUACACUGAGUUCUUCACGGGACACAUAUCGGACACAUGGGUUUACGGGACACGGUCUGCCUCCCCUCAGGGAGAAUCUUUCUAAGGUUGACCUCGGAUCAGGUAGGGAUACCCGCUGAACUUAAGCAUAUCAAUAAGCGGAGGA